rnacentral:tRNA from 1 species
AUCCCUGUAGCUCAGUUGGUAGAGCAUGGUGUUUGCAACGCCAGGGUUGUGGGUUUGAUUCCCACGGGGGGCA